AAGAUGAGAGCUUGUCAAGAUAGCCAAGGAGACUGUCUGACAACUACUCCGUAUUUGAUUGAGAAAAACUCUCAAUCAAAAGAUCGAGAAAUAAGCAGGCAAGUCAUCCUUAGCUACCAAACAAUAAACAUAUAACA
rfam:Spinacia oleracea cultivar SynViroflay scaffold31816.con0002.1, whole genome shotgun sequence.